AGGACGAACGCUGGCGGCACGCUUAACACAUGCAAGUCGAACGAGGUCCAAGGAGCUUGCUCCGGAAGAUCUAGUGGCGAACGGGUGCGUAACACGUGAGAAACCUGCCCUGAACUUGGGAAUAACAGUCGGAAACGACUGCUAAUACCGAAUAUCUUCACGACGUCGCAUGGCGAUGUGAAGAAAGCUUUUGCGGUUCAGGAGGGUCUCGCGGCCUAUCAGCUAGUUGUGAGGUAACGGCUCACCAAGGCAUCGACGGGUAGCUGGUCUGAGAGGAUGAUCAGCCACACUGGGACUGAGACACGGCCCAGACUCCUACGGGAGGCAGCAGUGGGGAAUAUGCACAAUGGGCGCAAGCCUGAUGCAGCGAUGCCGCGUAGCGGAUGAAGGCCCUAAGGGUUCGUAAACCGCUUUACAGCGAAGGAAGAAAAGUGAACGGUACCUGACAAGAAGAAGGUGCGGACCAACGUACGUGACCAGCGAGUCCGA
rnacentral:rRNA from 1 species